rnacentral:tRNA from 1 species
UCCCUGGUGGCUCAGAGGUUAAAGCGUCUGCCUCCAACGCAGACGGGGAGACCCGGGUUCGAUCCCUGGGUCGGGAA